AGAGUUUGAUCCUGGCUCAGAGCGAACGCUGGCGGCAGGCUUAACACAUGCAAGUCGAGCGGGCAUAGCAAUAUGUCAGCGGCAGACGGGUGAGUAACGCGUGGGAACAUACCUUUUGGUUCGGAACAACACAGGGAAACUUGUGCUAAUACCGGAUAAGCCCUUACGGGGAAAGAUUUAUCGCCGAAAGAUUGGCCCGCGUCUGAUUAGCUAGUUGGUGAGGUAACGGCUCACCAAGGCGACGAUCAGUAGCUGGUCUGAGAGGAUGAUCAGCCACAUUGGGACUGAGACACGGCCCAAACUCCUACGGGAGGCAGCAGUGGGGAAUAUUGGACAAUGGGCGCAAGCCUGAUCCAGCCAUGCCGCGUGAGUGAUGAAGGCCCUAGGGUUGUAAAGCUCUUUUGUGCGGGAAGAUAAUGACGGUACCGCAAGAAUAAGCCCCGGCUAACUUCGUGCCAGCAGCCGCGGUAAUACGAAGGGGGCUAGCGUUGCUCGGAAUCACUGGGCGUAAAGGGUGCGUAGGCGGGUCUUUAAGUCAGGGGUGAAAUCCUGGAGCUCAACACCAGAACUGCCUUUGAUACUGAGGAUCUUGAGUUCGGGAGAGGUGAGUGGAACUGCGAGUGUAGAGGUGAAAUUCGUAGAUAUUCGCAAGAACACCAGUGGCGAAGGCGGCUCACUGGCCCGAUACUGACGCUGAGGCACGAAAGCGUGGGGAGCAAACAGGAUUAGAUACCCGGGUAGUCCACGCCGUAAACGAUGAAUGCCAGCCGUUAGUGGGUUUACUCACUAGUGGCGCAGCUAACGCUUUAAGCAUUCCGCCUGGGGAGUACGGUCGCAAGAUUAAAACUCAAAGGAAUUGACGGGGGCCCGCACAAGCGGUGGAGCAUGUGGUUUAAUUCGACGCAACGCGCAGAACCUUACCAGCCCUUGACAUCCCGGUCGCGGAUUCCAGAGACGGAGUCCUUCAGUUCGGCUGGACCGGAGACAGGUGCUGCAUGGCUGUCGUCAGCUCGUGUCGUGAGAUGUUGGGUUAAGUCCCGCAACGAGCGCAACCCCCGUCCUUAGUUGCUACCAUUUAGUUGAGCACUCUAAGGAGACUGCCGGUGAUAAGCCGCGAGGAAGGUGGGGAUGACGUCAAGUCCUCAUGGCCCUUACGGGCUGGGCUACACACGUGCUACAAUGGCGGUGACAAUGGGACGCUAAGGGGCAACCCUUCGCAAAUCUCAAAAAGCCGUCUCAGUUCGGAUUGGGCUCUGCAACUCGAGCCCAUGAAGUUGGAAUCGCUAGUAAUCGUGGAUCAGCAUGCCACGGUGAAUACGUUCCCGGGCCUUGUACACACCGCCCGUCACACCAUGGGAGUUGGUUUUACCUGAAGACGGUGCGCUAACCCGCAAGGGAGGCAGCCGGCCACGGUAGGGUCAGCGACUGGGGUGAAGUCGUAACAAGGUA
rnacentral:rRNA from 1 species